UACGUAGGGGGCAAGCGUUGUCCGGAAUCAUUGGGCGUAAAGCGCGUGUAGGCGGUUCGGUAAGUCUGCUGUGAAAGUCCAGGGCUCAACCCUGGGAUGCCGGUGGAUACUGCUGGGCUAGAGUACGGAAGAGGCGAGUGGAAUUCCCGGUGUAGCGGUGAAAUGCGCAGAUAUCGGGAGGAACACCUAUUGCGAAGGCAGCUCGCUGGGACGUUACUGACGCUGAGACGCGAAAGCGUGGGGAGCAAACAGG
rnacentral:rRNA from 1 species